GUGAGGAAUAUUGGUCAAUGGGCGGGAGCCUGAACCAGCCAAGUCGCGUGAAGGAAGAAGGAUCUAUGGUUCGUAAACUUCUUUUGCAGGGGAAUAAAGUGCAGGACGUGUCCUGUUUUGUAUGUACCCUGAGAAUAAGGAUCGGCUAACUCCGUGCCAGCAGUCGCGGUAAUACGGAGGAUCCGAGCGUUAUCCGGAUUUAUUGGGUUUAAAGGGUGCGUAGGUGGUUUGAUAAGUCAGCGGUCAAAGUUUGCAGCUUAACUGUAAAAAUGCCGUUGAAACUGUCGGACUUGAGUGUAAAUGAGGUAGGCGGAAUGCGUAGUGUAGCGGUGAAAUGCAUAGAUAUCACGCAGAACUCCGAUUGCGAAGGCAGCUUACUAAGCUACGACUGACACUGAAGCACGAAAGCGUGGGGAUCAACCAGGAUUAGAUACCCUUGUAGUCC
rnacentral:rRNA from 1 species